rfam:Brachypodium distachyon strain Bd21 chromosome 4, whole genome shotgun sequence.
AAUGUAUUUCCUCCGUCCAACAAAGGAUAUGUCCCAAUUUUAAUUUAAUUUGAAUGGCUCUAUACACAAAGUUAUGUGUAGAUACAUCCAAAUUUUAACAAACUUGAGACAUCUUUUGUCGGACGGAGGGAGUACAUA